rnacentral:misc_RNA from 1 species
GAUGAAGAACGCAGCAAAAUGCGAUAAGUAGUGUGAAUUGCAGAAUUCAGUGAAUCAUCGAAUCUUUGAACGCACAUUGCGCCCUUUGGUAUUCCUUAGGGCAUGCCUGUUCGAGCGUCAUUUAAACCUUCAAGCUCAGCUUGGUGUUGGGUGACUGUCCGCUUCACCGCGGACUCGCCUCAAAAUUAUUGGCGGCCGGUACAUUGGCUUCGAGCGCAGCAGAAACGCGAACUCGGGCCCGUCGUAUUGGCUCCCAGAAGCUAUCUUCACAAUUUUGACCUCGGAUCAGGUAGGGAUACCCGCUGAACUUAAGCAUAUCAAUAAGCGGAGGA